rnacentral:rRNA from 1 species
CAGUAGCCACGGUAAUACGGAGGGUGCAAGUGUUAUCCGGAUUUAUUGGGUUUAAAGGGUCCGUAGGCGGAUCUGUAAGUCAGUGGUGAAAUCUCACAGCUUAACUGUGAAACUGCCAUUGAUACUGCAGGUCUUGAGUAAAUUUGAAGUGGCUGGAAUAAGUAGUGUAGCGGUGAAAUGCAUAGAUAUUACUUAGAACACCAAUUGCGAAGGCAGGUCACUAAGAUUUAACUGACGCUGAUGGACGAAAGCGUGGGGAGCGAACAGGAUUAGAUACCCGUGUAGUCCCUGUCUCUUAUAC